rnacentral:rRNA from 1 species
GACGAACGCUGGCGGCGUGCUUAACACAUGCAAGUCGAACGAUGAAGCCGGAGCUUGCUCUGGUGAAUUAGUGGCGAACGGGUGAGUAACACGUGAGUAACCUGCCCUUGACUCUGGGAUAACUGCUAGAAAUGGUAGCUAAUACCGGAUACGACCCUCGGAGGCAUCUCCAGGGGGUGGAAAGAAUUUCGGUCAAGGAUGGACUCGCGGCCUAUCAGCUAGUUGGUGAGGUAAUGGCUCACCAAGGCGACGACGGGUAGCCGGCCUGAGAGGGUGACCGGCCAGACUGGGACUGAGACACGGUCCAGACUCCUACGGGAGGCAGCAGUGGGGAAUAUUGCACAAUGGGCGCAAGCCUGAUGCAGCAACGCCGCGUGAGGGAUGACGGCCUUCGGGUUGUAAACCUCUUUUAGUAGGGAAGAAGCGAAAGUGACGGUACCUGCAGAAAAAGCACCGGCUAACUACGUGCCAGCCGCCGCCGUAA